CUAUUAUUGUUGUAGAUGAUUGAAUACUGCUGUUAUUACUUUGACUGCUGUAUGUAAUCUGACAUGUUGACUGUGUCUGUGCUGACAGGAGGAUGGCCCGAGUUUGAGAUCCACAGGACUCAGCUCUGAAUGUGCAGAUGUCGAUGGUAGCAGUGAGCCUGAACAUGAGGAGGAGGCAAAAAGUCGCCAUAUGCUUUAUAUACAGAAGCUCAAAUCACACCAUGACAUGUGUGAAAAGCGCUACGAGGCGGCACAGGCAGAGAGGCAAAAGGAGGAGAGGAAGAGGACCUUGGUUCUACAUCGUCAGCAGGAUACAGCACCGGACAGAGAAGCUCUCGGGUUGGUGUCAGAGGAAUCAAGUUUUGAAUUUAGUGAGGAUGACUAUGUCCCUGAAUGUGGAGUAACCAGCAGUGAUAGCUCACUUGAUGUCAAACUUGGAAGGAAGAGAAAAGUGCAAAAACACAUUCAGAUCAGAAAGUAUCUGUCCUACUCAAGAAAACGCAUCUCCUGCCUGCAAA